GAUCCUGGCUCAGAACGAACGCUGGUGGCGUGUCUUAUACAUGCAAGUCGAGCGAGGCAGCAAUGCCGAGCGGCGAACGGGUGAGUAACGCGUAAGCAAUCUGCCCCAUAUCAGGAAAUACCCGUGCCAACGCGCGGUUAAUGUCCAGGAGAGUGGCCCUCCGCAUGGAGGGUUGACUAGAGAUUCAUCGGUAUGGGAUGAGCUUGCGUCCGAUUAGCUAGUUGGCGGGGCAACGGCCCACCAAGGCGACGAUCGGUAGCCGGCCUGAGAGGGUGAUCGGCCACAUUGGGACUGAGAUACGGCCCAGACUCCUACGGGAGGCAGCAGUAGGGAAUAUUGCACAAUGGGGGAAACCCUGAUGCAGCAACGCCACGUGUGGGAAGAAGCAUUUCGGUGUGUAAACCACUGUCAUGAGGGAAUAAGGCCCGCCUUCGGACGGGAUUGAAUGUACCUUGAGAGGAAGCACCGGCAAACUUCGUGCCAGCAGCAGC
rnacentral:rRNA from 1 species